GCAAGUCGAGCGAGAACGGUUUCUUCGGAAGCUUAGUAGAGCGGCGCACGGGUGAGUAACGCGUGGAUGAUCUACCUUGAAGAUUGGGAUAACAGCUGGAAACGACUGCUAAUACCAAAUACGAUUCAUAUUUAACUGUAUGAGUGAAAGAUGGCCUCUGCUUGCAAGCUAUCGCUUUGAGAUGAGUCCGCGUUUCAUUAGCUAGUUGGUAAGGUAAUGGCUUACCAAGGCGACGAUCCCCAGCUGGUCUGAGAGGAUGAUC
rnacentral:rRNA from 1 species